rnacentral:lncRNA from 1 species
CUUAAUUUCAGUGGUGUAUCGUAUUGCAUUAUAUAGAGCUUUACAAGAUAGUAUAAAUGGAAUACAAAUCAAUAAUUUACAAUGAAAUGGAAACCGUGUAAAUGAAAUGGAAACCGUGUAAAUUAGCCUCCUUCAAUUACGUGAUUGGCAUUGGCAUGCUAUGGAAAGAUUGUGAUUGAGGAGUAAUAUCCUCAAUCAUAGUAUUAUUUCCAACACCCCCCCUCCCGCAAGCUCAACGUCGGAUUUGAUCGAACAUGGAGUUUGGAACGAAAGAGCUCAAAUAGAGGUCGAGGAACACUCUUGGUAAAGAUAUCAGCAACUUGUAGAUGAGAUGGGACAUAUUGUGUACGAAGUUUUCCCGUGACAACAAGCUCACGAAGAAAGUGGUAGUCCAAUUCAACAUGCUUGGCCCGCUUGUGUGAAAUCGGAUUGGAGCUUAAAAAAAUGGCACUUUUGUUGUCACAUAAGAGAGUGGGCUGCUGAGGCAUGGAUACCUUGAGGUCAUACAGAAGAUGUGUGAGCCAGAUGAGUUCAGCGGCACUGGAGGCAAGGGCACGAUACUCAGAUUCACAGCUGGAACGAGAGACAGUCGGCUGUUUCUUGGCACUCCAGGAAACUAAAUUGUCGCCAAAAUAGAUAGAAUAACCAGAAGUCGAACGACGAGUAUCCGGGCAGCCGGCCCAAUCAGCAUCAGAGUAGGCUACAAGAGCACCAGGAGAAGUGGAAGGGCGAAAAUGUAGGCCAUAGUGAAUGGUGCUUUUAACAUAGCGGAGGAUGCGUUUAACAGCCAGAAAGUGAUCAUUAGUGGGAGCGUGUAAGAAUUGACUGACAGAGCUGACAGCAUGAGCAAUGUCGGGCCUUGUGAUAGUCAAGUACUGUAGUGCACCGACGAGGGAUCUAUAGAGAGUAGGGUCUGAAAACAGAGAACCAUCAGCAGAAAGAUGUUGAGAAACAACCAUGGGCGUGUGAACAGGUUUACUGUCAAGUAAUUGAGCUCGAGUAAGAAUGUCCCGUGCAUAUUUGAGCUGACUGAUGAAGAGACCAUCAGAAGUUGGAGUGGCUUCAAGACCAAGAAAAUAGCUGAGAGAGCCUAAGUCUUUAGUGGCAAACUCAGAGUUAAGUGUACGAGUGAAGCGGGCAAGAAGUGAAGAAUUGUUGCCUGUAAUAAUGAUAUCAUCAACAUAAAGAAGUAAAUAGAUAAUAUCGGACUUCUGAUGAAAGACAAAUAGAGAUGUGUCCGCACGGCUGCAAGAAAACCCAAGGCGAAUAAUAAAGGAGCUGAAGCGCUGAAACCAAGCACGAGGGGCUUGUUUGAGACCAUAAAGAGCUUUCUUCAACUGGCAAACAUGGUCUGGAAAGCGAGGAUCAAUAUAUCCUGGAGGCUGUUCCAUAUAAACUUGAUCAGUAAGAGUACCAUUGAGGAAUGCAUUUUUGACAUCAAGUUGAUGAAGGGG